GUUGUAUGGUUAAGUGACUAAGCGUACACGGUGGAUGCCUUGGCAGUCAGAGGCGAUGAAGGACGUAUUAACUUGCGAUAAGCCCAGAUUAGGUAGUAAAAACCACUUGAGUCUGGGAUUUCCGAAUGGGGAAACCCACUUACAUAAGUAAGUAUCGUUAUGUGAAUACAUAGCAUAACGAGGCGAACCGGGGGAACUGAAACAUCUAAGUACCCCGAGGAAAAGA
rnacentral:rRNA from 1 species